rnacentral:rRNA from 1 species
GAUGAACGCUGGCGGCGUGCCUAAUACAUGCAAGUCGAGCGAACAGAUGAGGAGCUUGCUCCUCUGACGUUAGCGGCGGACGGGUGAGUAACACGUGGAUAACCUACCUAUAAGACUGGGAUAACUUCGGGAAACCGGAGCUAAUACCGGAUAAUAUAUUGAACCGCAUGGUUCAAUAGUGAAAGACGGUUUUGCUGUCACUUAUAGAUGGAUCCGCGCCGCAUUAGCUAGUUGGUAAGGUAACGGCUUACCAAGGCAACGAUGCGUAGCCGACCUGAGAGGGUGAUCGGCCACACUGGAACUGAGACACGGUCCAGACUCCUACGGGAGGCAGCAGUAGGGAAUCUUCCGCAAAGGGCGAAAGCUUGACGGAGCAAUGCCGCGUGAGUGAUGAAGGUCUUCGGAUCGUAAAACUCUGUUAUUAGGGAAGAACAAAUGUGUAAGUAACUAUGCACGUCUUGACGGUACCUAAUCAGAAAGCCACGGCUAACUACGUG